UUAAAAAUAUAUAUAUUAAACUUUAGCUCCCAACGUAGAAAUCUAUGCGAACAGGAAAAGGCGAAAUUUGAAUCCACAAAGAAUAAUAAAGGAUAGCAUGUCAGCAGCGAGUUAGAAAAAGUCAAAGUUGAGAGCUCUGCUUCACAGCCUUCCCUGAGGUCUGCUGCUGCUAAGUCGCUUCAGUCGUGUCUGACUCUGUGCGACCCCAUAGACGGCAGCCCACCAGGCUCCCCCGUCCCAGAGAUUCUCCAGGCAAGAACACUGGAGUGGGUUUCUAUUUCCUUCUCCAAUGCAUGAAAGUGAAAAGUGAAAGUGAAGUUGCUCAGUCUUGUCCGACCCUCAGCGACCCCAUGGACUGCAACCUUCCAGGCUCCUCCGUCCAUGGGAUUUUCCAGGCAAGAGUACUGGAGUGGGGUGCCAUUGCCUUCUCCAUACUGAGGUCUAGGCCACCUCAUUUUACUUCAGCAGCAGUGUUUUCCAGCAGAGUUUCCUUGAAUUGUAAAGACUUCAGACCUCUAGCCAUUGGCUGCCACCAGGAAGAGCCAUCGUUAAUUAGCAAAAAUUGGUGCUUGUGU
rnacentral:lncRNA from 1 species